rnacentral:rRNA from 1 species
AACGAACGCUGGCGGCAGGCUUAACACAUGCAAGUCGAGCGCCCCGCAAGGGGAGCGGCCGACGGGUGAGUAACGCGUGGGAACGUACCUCUUGGUUCGGAACAACUCCGGGAAACUGGAGCUAAUACCGGAUAAGCCCUAACGGGGAAAGCUUUAUCGCCGAAAGAUCGGCCCGCGUCUGAUUAGCUAGUUGGUGAGGUAACGGCUCACCAAGGCGACGAUCAGUAGCUGGUCUGAGAGGAUGAUCAGCCACACUGGGACUGAGACACGGCCCAGACUCCUACGGGAGGCAGCAGUGGGGAAUAUUGGACAAUGGGCGCAAGCCUGAUCCAGCCAUGCCGCGUGAGUGAUGAAGGCCGUAGGGUUGUAAAGCUCUUUUGUCCGGGAAGAUAAUGACUGUACCGGAAGAAUAAGCCCCGGCUAACUUCGUG